ensembl:snoRNA
AAGACUAUACUUUCAGGGAUCAUUUCUAUAGUGUUUAACUAGGAAGUGUGUUUCGGAAGUGUUGCGUCUCUCAAACCACGAUGAUGAGUGAUAGUGCACUCCUCUGAGCGUAAAUCUGGCAGUUAUCUGUGAUUUAAUCACGGGUUAUUAUCAUUGAUGAACGUUCAUUGAUUCUAUAUGAGUCUUUGAGGGGGAGUGCAUGAUCCGAGUGGUU